ACCCUGCUGGAGUCCGGGGGGGACCUCCAGCCCCCCGGGGGGUCCCUGCGCCUCCUCUGCCGCGGCUCCGGGUUUGAUUUCGGAAAUUUUGAAAUUUACUGGAUCCGCCAGAGAUCGGGGAAUGUGCUGGAAUUCGUCGCACAGAUCAACAGCAAGGGCGAAAACGCCGUGUACGCGCCGUCGGUCAAGGGCCGGUUCACGGUGACAAGGGACAAUGGGCAGAGCUCGGUGACGCUGGCCAUGAGCAGCCUCAAGGACGAGGAUUCCGGAUCCUAUUUCUGUGUAUGGUGA